rnacentral:rRNA from 1 species
CCUACGGGAGGCAGCAGUAGGGAAUAUUGCUCAAUGGGCGAAACCCUGAAGCAGCAACGCCGCGUGGAGGAUGAAGGGUUUCGGAUUGUAAACCCCUUUUGGUAGAGAAGAUAAUGACGGUAUCUAACGAAUCAUCACUGGCUAACUCUGUGCCAGCAGCCGCGGUAAAACGGAGGGCGCAAGCGUUACUCGGAAUCACUGGGCGUAAAGGGCGCGUAGGCGGUUGAGCAAGUCAGAUGUGAAAUCCUAUGGCUUAACCAUAGAAUUGCAUUUGAAACUGUUGUUCUAGAGUAUGGGAGAGGUAGGUGGAAUUCUAGGUGUAGGGGUAAAAUCCGUAGAGAUCAAGAGGAAUACUCAUUGCGAAGGCGACCUGCUAGACCAUAACUGACGCUGAUGCGCGAAAGCGUGGGGAGCAAACAGGAUUAGAUACCCGAGUAGUC